AUGCAGAAUUUUCCUCUACAAGUGAUUUUUCACAGAAGCAUGACACUGUUGACUCAUGUUCCAGCUUGUGAUAAGAUACCCUGUGGAUCCUUUCCUGUAAAACAGCUACCUCUCCAAUUUGUGAAGAUCAUUCUGCAUUAUAAUCCUAUCCUCCAAAAUGCUUGAAGCCCCUCCCAGCCUGGUGCCUGCCAGCGCUCACAGCAAACAAUAACCCCAGGAGACUUUUGAACACAGCUCUUAUACCAACGUAUACCAACCUACUUUUUUUCUGAGCUGCAUUACCUAUGAGAUGACCACAGAAGAAAACAAUAUCAGCUUGCAGAGUGCAGCCUUUGGGCAAUGAACAUCCUGAAGCAUUGGACUAGUUCGUCAGCCCCUGACAUCCUGUUUCCAUGCAAAAGUCUCCAAACACAAGGAAAAAGGGGGAAGUGAGACUGAGAUAGCUGAUAAGCUAUUGCCAGAAUGAUGAUUAAUGAGCUGAACUUGUGUCAACUUUCACCUUUCCUUGAAGAUGUGGUCCCAAAAACCAGCCAUGGAGACAGUGAGGUGAGAAUGUAUCUGGAAAGGUCAAGCACCAGCAGUGAGAGAUCAAGGCUGGUCAGGAACUCCAGAAAAGUUUUCAGCUUACCCUCCAAGUGGAGCUAGCAUCACUCAUUGCCUUCUUAUGCACAGCGAGUUGUGAAGUUCUUUUUUGCUGGCAAGUCAUUAAUUUCACAGCAUAAUUGCUGUGAAGUAGACCUUUAACUUUGGGAAAUGACACCGUUAUUUUUCUUUCUCUCGCCAGCAAUAUUUCAAAAUUUGGAGGUCAGAAUGCUAGGAGAGGUAGCUACCUAUUUAAAUAGAUGCUUAGUUAAACAGUCCCUUAAAUGAACAAGCAUUUGGAAAAAGAAAAAAAAAUUAUUUCUAUUCUGAAAUCAACUUUAAUUCCAUGUAUCUUAAUCUAUCUAGCACUGGCAUGUUGUUUACAUGUUUAAUUAUAAAAUAAAAACCCAAGAUGCCAUUCUGCAGGCAAGUUGAGCCUCUCUCUGAUGCAGAUAAAUAUUUUAACGUCUUGGAAUGGGUCUGCAGAGGGCAGAACACCCAACAGUGGCUGGCUGCCCCUGCUCAGUGUUUCAGAAGGGCUGUCUCCCACAGUUAGCACCAAGCAAGGCUGGGAUGGGAGGGCUCCCAGGCUCAAGGAGGAGAGCGUGCGGAGGGCACUGUCAUUUCUGGCACACAAGAGAUCAUGGAGGAUGCUAGUCCAAAGAGGAUGCAUGCCAGAGAAGAAGGCUCAGUACUCUGUCUUCUUUUAGUCCACAUACUGGAAGUAAAGGAAAAAAUGUCAGUGUUACAGUGCUGAAGCACCAAUUCUGUAACUAAAAUGGAAAUGACUCCAAAGCAGUCAUUCAUUUAGUUUAACUCUGAGGAAGAUUACAGUAUUUUAUUUUUCAAUUUUGAGCACUUCUUUUUUUUUUUUUAACUCCAAGUGAGAAUUGUGAUUUUAAUUUGAAAUAAAUUUGAUGGAUGAAUUUUAGCAUGCCUUUUAAGACUUUCUAGGACUUGAAGGUUCUUAUUAAUGGAAUGACACAAGCUUUUCAAACUCUGCUAGGUGACAAUUUCUUGAAAACAGGUGAUAAAGCUGUAUUUAAUAAAAGAAAAAAAAAACUAUUGCUAGAGUUAUCUAUUAGAUAUUGUUUAUAAAUCUGUAAUGUUUGUUAUGAGUGGGGUGAGGACAAAACUGAACAAGGAAAGAGCACCAGAGAUGCGAAAAUAUUUAGGCAGAAAAUCACUGCAACCGUCUGUGCUGAUGAACACAGAGGUUUUGGUGUUUUCACUGCUGGGGUACUUUUAAUGAGAGCUAAUGAGUCUUUAAUAUAAAGGUAAGUUAAGAAACAGUCAUGGUGUCUGUGAGAGGGAUGUGUGCCUCUUGCUCAGCCUCACUUUAUAUCAGCAGAUACCAGAGAUUUACCCGCACUCUUCAGGGGAUGGCCACCAUUUCCUUUGCCACUGCUCGGCCCAUACGCAGCUGUUUAUCAGCACAACCCUUUUCUUGAAUUUAUCAGCCCUCCAGAUCUGGCAGCAGAAAAACUUGCACAACCUCCCCUCUAUCUGUCUUAUUUGGAUCAGAUGGGUCAGAUGGGGUGGUUUAGACAGCUAAAUAGCAAACAUGAUGAUCCAGCAGAUUUUGUUUGAAACUGUUUGGUAAGCUCUCAGCAGAGUAUCUGCUCUGCAGGUGUCAAGAGUCGGUAAGUCCUGCCAGGGGAAGAAUUAAAGGAGUUUGCAACAGGUUUGUGAUAAUAUUUCUUUUCUGCUGGAGCAGCUAGAUGUGGCAGAUGACAUCUGUUCUGCUUUUACUCAGGGCAUGUUUGUCUGACACUGAGGAACUGGCAAUAUGGAGGUUUUGUAUUCGGGCUCACACAGGAAGGGACACAUCACAAAGCAUUUUCUGUUUCCUCAUUUCAUCAAAGUCGCUACUGGUUCAAACCCUGCUAUAAAUCUUAGCCACUUGCACUGCAUGAUCAUUAUCACUUUCUAAAGACAGCCUGAUCAAGAGCUUGGGUCACUCUUGAAAGCAUCUGUGCUACCAGAGGUAACUCAUCCCAUCACCACCCUUGCUGGCAAGUAUGGCAUAAGAACGAAGCACUGGAAGGAGCCCUCUGGGUCAUAAAUUCCCGCAGGUUUCCAUGUCACACACCCCCUGCCAUAAAGUUAAUAAGUUCCACACUGAGAGCAGUGUUGCUCUCUGCGGUUACUGCUCCUGUUAAAAGUACUUUCUAGGACCACAUGCUGAUAGUCAGAGCUUAUCUCUACAUUUCCAGCCACAGUUAGCUGGAGGGCGAGCCUUCUGUUUGCAUCAUGCCAGUCCCGUGAAGCGAAGCAUUAUCUGCACCCGGAGCACUCUGCUGGCACGGCAUUGCCCAGGGUCACACGCUGAUCAUCAGAAGGGUGUACGUCCCUGGGCAAGGAGCUCAGAUGCAUUAGUGGGACCCUGCGAAGCAACAGUUUACCUGGAGACCAUAGACUUUUUGCUGGUGGUUACACCACCCCACGCAGGUCCCCAAGGAGUUGUAACAGCAUAUAUAACAGCAGACUGUUAUCGGCCUCUUCUUCAGCUUUAUCUACCCUCUGAUCUCACUUAUCUAAAAAGAUAUUGAUCCCUUGCUCCCAUCCGGCUCACAUCCUUUCUUGUCCUUCGUGGUUCACCCUCUUUCCCUCAGUAAUCCUCAGCGUUACCCUUACACUCUCUUGUGGUUUAACUGGGCUGGCAGCUCAGCACCACACAGCCGUUAGGUCACCCUUCCCCCUCCCUCUGUGGGAUCGGGGAGAGAAUCGAAAGAAAUGAAAGCUCGUGAGUUGAGACAAAGACAGUUUAUUAGGACAGAAAAGGAGGAAUAAUAAUAAUAAUAUUGAUAACACUACUAAUAAUAAUAACAUGUACAAACAAGUGAUGCACAGUGCACUUGCUCACCACCCACUGACCGACACCCAGCCUAUGCCCAAGCAGUGGUCCCUCCACCCCUGCCAGCCCCCCCAUAUUAAUUUUUCAGCAUGACUCCAUAAGGUACGGGACAUCCCUUUGACCAUUUUGUAUCAGCUGUCCUGGCUCUGUCCCCUCCCAGCUCCUGCUGCACCCCCAACCUCCCGCCGGCAGGGCAGAGCGAGAAGCUGAGAAGUCCUUGGCUUGGUGUAAGCACUGCUCUGCAGCAAUUAAACCAUCAGUGUGUUAUCAACAUUUUUCUCAUCCUAAAUCCCAAACACAGCACCCUACCAGCUACUGGGAGGAAAACUAACUCUAUCCUAGCUGAAACCAGGACAUACUCUCACUUGAUUUUCACUUGUCAUACUCACAACACUCUUCCUUCACCCAAACCCUGGCCCCUUUUAUUCAAAUUCAUGUUUGUUUCCUUGUUGUUUGUUGUUUUUGUUGUUGUUGU